rnacentral:rRNA from 1 species
AUGAAGGAGGACGUCUCCUGCUUUGCCUCCAUCUUAGGCAACUUUGGUGAGGUCACGGGACUAGUCACCAAUUGCAGCAAGAGUCUGGUGGCCCCAAUUCGAUGUGCUGGCCUUGAUCUUCCUGAAAUCCUGCAGCUCUUCCCCGCCAAACUCAUGAGUUUUCCAAUGACUUACUUGGGACUGCCACAAUCGGUUAAGAGACUUAAGGCGGUUCAUUUCUUUCCUCUGGAGGACAAAGUUGCAUGCAGGCUCGCCCCUUGGAUUGGCCACCUCAUGGCCGCCCCUAGGAGGGCUAUUAUGGUCAAGGCGGUUCUCACCGCCAUAGCUAUCUACAGCAUUACUUCGCUGAUCCUGCUAGUGAGGUGA